rnacentral:rRNA from 1 species
GUGUCAGCAGCCGCGGUAAAACGUAGGACACUAGCGUUAUCCGGAUUUAUUGGGCGUAAAGCGCGUGUAGGCGGUGCUUUAAGUUGGAUGUAAAAUCUCCUGGCCUAACUGGGAGGGGUCAUUCAAUACUGGAGCACUUGAGGGCAGAAGAGGGAAGUGGAAUUCCCGGUGUAGCGGUGGAAUGCGUAGAUAUCGGGAGGAACACCUGUGGCGAAAGCGGCUUCCUGGGCUGCCCCUGACGCUGAUACGCGAAAGCUAGGGGAGCGAACGGGAUUAGAUACCCCCGUAGUCC